AGUUUACCCACCAAUCGUCGAUAGAGAGUGGGAUCUGCCAUGGGUGGUUCUAAUUCAGCGUACAAUUUGGAAUAUGGGUCAAGAGGAGAUGUGACAGCAGGCCCUGCACAAUCAAAUUUAGCCAGUAGUUCCAAGAUUAACAUCACCAUCAAAUCAAUUUCUCAAAUAGAAAACAAGAAGAAGUUUGAAAUAUAAAUUACACAAGAAAUGGAAAAAGCAGCAAACAUGAAGCGGGGCUUGAGGAUCGCAAUCAUAUUGAUGAUGGUUUUUGCUGCAGAAGGGGAAACUGAUGUACAAAGAUGCAUUCAUAAAUGCCAGGCAAAGUGUGGCAAUGAUCAAGAAUGUUUCAACGACUGUAUAAAUCACUGUGUUGUACAUGUGAAUGGGCAAUAUCAAAUUUACUAUUGUAAGAUUGGUUGUGCUUUGGGUAAGUGUUCUAAAUUUGAUGUAAAUGACAAGCAAAGAGAGACUUGUUUGGAGGAGUGUUCCAACAAGGAUUGUUAUUUCAAAAAUUAGUGAUCUAUAUAUUGUUGGAAAUAUGCGCUAUAAGAACAUAGUUUAUCCUCAUUUAUA